rnacentral:lncRNA from 1 species
GAUGUUUUGAACCAAACAACUGAGUCUGACUAGUCACAGUUUGUUCUGUGGGAGAGUGUGGGCUCCAGUUGCUGUAGUUCUUUCCUGUCUCCUCCUUAUAUCAGAGGAGGCAGAGGACGGCACAUCAGUCCAUGGGCAUGUCCCUGGCAGCAUCAGGGGCCAGGGACAGACUGCCUUACUUGCUUCAGAACUCCUCUACCAGCUUGGCUGGUCCCACUAUCUCAAGACUCAGUGCUUGAGCAGGCACUGGACUCUAGACCCCAGGCCCUUCUGGAUAGGUACCAGACUGUGAAGCUAAACUCCUGUCUCUGAAGUGAUACCACCCUGAAAUGUCACCUCCUGUUGCAGGUAUGGCUCCAGUCACUGGCUUGGAGAGAUGAAGUGUCAUGGGAUGUUUGGGGGCUUAUUUCGCUCAUUUCCACCACUGACAAUUGCAUAGUCAAAACAAAUUCUAUAAAUGAUAUAACAUAAAGAAUUAAAACAAUAUAAACAAAAGGUCUUGGACAGUAACACAGUUCAAUAUCUGAUGAAUCCAAGUACUUCCCCACAAGUUCUCACUGUACCUCUUAUAGCAGCCCCAGGAGGAAGUUUGUCUUUCUUGGUUUUAUAAAUGAGGAACCUGAGUAUAAGAGACCUUCAGAGACUUGCUCCUGAUCAGGCUUGUUACUUUAUUAGAGGUUGUGAAGUAGUAGUAGGUCAAAUCAGCCCUUUGCCUCAUUUUGUUUGUCUUUAAUAUUUUAAAAUUAUUUUACAUUGGAAUGCUUAUUAAUGGAUCAUUCAUUCUCUGACCAGACACAGCCCUUGUUACUCUCCACUGAUUCUGAAUAGAGCUGAUUUAGCUUAAUUUUAUCUGUCCAGGCCCUGAAGGCAUUUGAUUUUUGCAACCCCUGCCAAAUCUUGUCUGCUCUCCACUGUGUAACUGUGGGGUCAAUAUUAACUCCUAAGGUAGGCCCAGAAAUAAACAAGCCUCAGCCACAAACCCUCUAUGUCAGGUGCAAAGCCUAAUUCCUUCUCCCUCCUGUUCUAACAGAACCAUGCAUAAAAAAGGCCUUGAGCUGUAGAGGAGGGAGAGGAAACACCUACCUGCCAUCCUGCGCAGCCUCUGAUGUUAUUAGUGAAGGUCAGAGCUAGAUUAACCUCACCUGUCCUGCCACCUUGUUCCAGGCAGAGGAUAAAAUAAAGUGUGUGUGUAUGCUCAGUUGAACCCUCACCUCUGGUGUCUCCUGCAGUGCAGGCGGAUUCUUUAACAUUGAGCCAGCUGGAAGCCCCAAAAUAAGGUAAGUCUGUAGAAAAAGUACAUUAGCUUCCCCUCUUUAGUGGUGCUGGUCUUUCUCUAGC